GACGAACCGUGCGAACGUUGUUCGGAAUUACUGGGCGUAAAGGGCGCGUAGGCGGUCUUGUAAGUCUUGUGUGAAAUCCCUUGGCUUAACUGAGGAACUGCACGAGAUACUGCAAGACUUGAGAUCGGGAGAGGGAAGCGGAAUUCCGGGUGUAGCGGUGAAAUGCGUAGAUAUCCGGAGGAACACCGGUGGCGAAGGCGGCUUCCUGGACCGACACUGACGCUGAGGCGCGAAAGCUAGGGGAGCAAACGGG
rnacentral:rRNA from 1 species